rfam:Schistosoma rodhaini strain Burundi genome assembly, scaffold: SROB_scaffold0018568
AUCCAGCAAACGAGUCCCAAAUAGGACGAAACGAGCGUCAAACUGGAU